UUCCGGUUGAUCCUGCCGGAGGUUACUGCUAUCGGAGUUCGAUUAAGCCAUGCGAGUCUAAAGGUUUCUUCGGAAACCUUGGCGGACUGCUCAGUAACACGUGGAUAACCUACCCUUGGGACUGGGAUAACCCCGGGAAACUGGGGAUAAUACCGGAUAGAUCAGGGAUGCUGGAAUGCGCCUUGAUCCAAAGCUCCGGCGCCCAAGGAUGGGUCUGCGGCCUAUCAGGUUGUAGUGGGUGUAACGUACCUACUAGCCGAUGACGGGUACGGGUUGUGAGAGCAAGAGCCCGGAGAUGGAUUCUGAGACACGAAUCCAGGCCCUACGGGGUGCAGCAGGCGCGAAACCUUUACAAUGUGCGAAAGCAUGAUAAGGGAACUCCGAGUGCCAGCAUCUAAUGCUGGCUGUCCUUGUGCCUAAAACGCGCAAGAUAGCAAGGGCCGGGUAAGACCGGUGCCAGCCGCCGCGGUAACACCGGCGGCCCGAGUGGUAGCCGCUAUUAUUGGGUCUAAAGGGUCCGUAGCCGGUUCGAUAAGUCCUCUGGGAAAUCUGGUUGCUUAACAAUCAGACUGCCAAGGGAUACUGUCGAACUUGAGACCGGGAGAGGUAAGAGGUACUUCAGGGGUAGGAGUGAAAUCUUGUAAUCCCUGGGGGACCAUCUGUGGCGAAGGCGUCUUACCAGAACGGGUCUGACGGUGAGGGACGAAAGCUGGGGGCGCAAACCGGAUUAGAUACCCGGGUAGUCCCAGCCGUAAACGAUGCUCGCUAUGUGUCAGGUACGGUGUGACCGUAUCUGGUGCCGUAGGGAAGCCGUGAAGCGAGCCACCUGGGAAGUACGGGCGCAAGGCUGAAACUUAAAGGAAUUGGCGGGGGAGCACUACAACGGGUGGAGCCUGCGGUUUAAUUGG
rnacentral:rRNA from 1 species